rnacentral:rRNA from 2 species
UACAGAGGGUGCAAGCGUUAAUCGGAAUUACUGGGCGUAAAGGGCGCGUAGGUGGUUGAUUAAGUCAGAUGUGAAAACCCCGGGCUUAACUUGGGAAUUGCAUUUGAAACUGAUUGACUAGAGUUUGGGAGAGGGAAGUGGAAUUUCCGGUGUAGCGGUGAAAUGCGUAGAUAUCGGAAGGAACAUCAGUGGCGAAGGCGACUUCCUGGCCCGAUACUGACACUGAGGCGCGAAAGCGUGGGGAGCGAACAGG